UUCCUUUCUAUCGUCUGCAAAAUAGUACUUAAGGGACUUUAAUUCCCCUACUUCCGGCCCUCUGGACAUCAUGGUUUAAAAUUCCUGGCAAUUGAACCUGGACCCACACUUUCUUUUUCCUCCUCAUCCUGUGUCAUCGCUCUCCUUGCUGUCAGCACCCUGGCAGGCAUCUGGCAACACAGCUGGAACCAGAGUAUGCCCGGGUGCCACACUACCUGCCUCGCCUGGCUGAUCCUUUAGAAUCCAAAGGCGUUCAUUUUAGAGAGGAGCAGUGAAGGCUUACGAUAUCAGCAGUGCUACCUGCUUCGUGAUCUGAACGAAUAACAGGGCGAAGGCUCAACUCUAACUCGGUGCCGUGAUGAAUUACUCAGUGCCUGCUGCGGGCCGGGGGCUGGAGAUCCCCUGCGAGGAAGUUUUUAGCUGGGAACUUUCUGUAAGCUUUCCAGGAAUGAGCCGGAGAGGCAACACUCAAGUUGGGGAUUGCUGAUAAUACACCAGUCACACAGCUGCUCCAUUCCCACAUAAAUUUAGUCCUUGGCUGGUCACACUGACACAUUUCCCUGAAGGUGGCCAGAGGGCUCAUGCAGCCAGCCGGUUAUGAAACACCGAGAAGUAUAAAAGCCUGCUAGCCCUCUGGGCUGUUUUUCCCCUGACAGAGAUGGAGGCUGUGAGCAGGCUUGUCCCCUUGGCCCUUUUCAUCGUGCCGUGUUUGGCAGAGUUCAACUGGACCCAGUCUGAAGUAAGUAUUAAGCUACACGGCCAUAUGGGGAUCCGAGGCAGGAGGUGAAGACCCACAAAGCCCUGGUCCUGCAACUCAAUGCCACGAGGACUGUACCUGGACACUUGAAAGACCAGAACAUGAAAGCAUCAGACUCACCUUUCCUGCUUCAAGUAGAGACUUUGGUCUUCUAAAAAGGAUGGCUGAAAACUCUGGCCAUACUGACAAAUCUCUGUGGAAAGAUGUCAGCUGCACCCAGAAGUUGUGGUAGGAAAACC